rnacentral:rRNA from 1 species
GAUGAACGCUGGCGGCGUGCCUAAUACAUGCAAGUCGAGCGAACAGAUAAGGAGCUUGCUCCUUUGACGUUAGCGGCGGACGGGUGAGUAACACGUGGGUAACCUACCUAUAAGACUGGGAUAACUUCGGGAAACCGGAGCUAAUACCGGAUAAUAUUUCGAACCGCAUGGUUCGAUAGUGAAAGAUGGUUUUGCUAUCACUUAUAGAUGGACCCGCGCCGUAUUAGCUAGUUGGUAAGGUAACGGCUUACCAAGGCGACGAUACGUAGCCGACCUGAGAGGGUGAUCGGCCACACUGGAACUGAGACACGGUCCAGACUCCUACGGGAGGCAGCAGUAGGGAAUCUUCCGCAAUGGGCGAAAGCCUGACGGAGCAACGCCGCGUGAGUGAUGAAGGUCUUCGGAUCGUAAAACUCUGUUAUUAGGGAAGAACAUACGUGUAAGUAACUGUGCGCGUCUUGACGGUACCUAAUCAGAAAGCCACGGCUAACUACGUG